rnacentral:rRNA from 1 species
UUAGAUUUUAUUUAUUAAUUUAAAUUGUAUUUAUAAUAAAGUAUUAAAAAUAAUUAUAUAAAAAAAAGUUUUAGUAUUGUUUAUAGAAAAAAUAAAUUUAAUUAUAGUUAAAUAGUAUUGUGAAAGAAAAUUGAAAUAAUUUGAAAAAUUUUUAUUUUAAAAGAAAAUUUAAUUUAUUGUACCUUGUGUAUCAGUGUUUUUUAAAUAAAAAUUAAUUAAAAAUAAUUUUCUCGAUUUUAAAAGAGUUAAUGUAAUAUUAAAGUUAUUGUAAUAAAAAUAUUUUAAAUAUUAUAUUAGAAAUGAAAUGUUAUUCGUUUUUAAAGGUAUCUAGUUUUUCAAGAAAUAAAUUUAAUUUAGAAAUUAUAAAUUUAUUUAUUUUAUUUUUUAAUAAAAUAAUUUUAUAAUUUUAAUAUUUAAUGGGAUAAGCUAUUAAAUAAAUUUUUAAAAAUAAUAAAUAUAUUUAAUAAAUGUAUGUUUAGAAAUAGCAAUCGUUAGCAAUUAUGUUAUAAUUUAUUUAAUAAAAUAAAUUAUUUAUUAAAUUUUAAAUAUUUAUUGAAAUAUUAAUUUUAAUUUUUAAAAUUAAGAAAUAAUGAAAAAAUUAGUAUAUUUUAUUGUAUAGAUAAAUUUAAUUGAAAAGUUUUAAUAAAG